rnacentral:tRNA from 4 species
GCGGAUGUGGCGAAAUUGGUAGACGCACCAGAUUUAGGUUCUGACGCCGCAAGGCGUGUCGGUUCGAGUCCGACCAUCCGCACCA